rnacentral:rRNA from 1 species
AUUGAACGCUGGCGGCAGGCCUAACACAUGCAAGUCGAGCGGAUGAAGGGAGCUUGCUCCUGGAUUCAGCGGCGGACGGGUGAGUAAUGCCUAGGAAUCUGCCUGGUAGUGGGGGAUAACGUCCGGAAACGGGCGCUAAUACCGCAUACGUCCUGAGGGAGAAAGUGGGGGAUCUUCGGACCUCACGCUAUCAGAUGAGCCUAGGUCGGAUUAGCUAGUUGGGAGGGUAAAGGCCUACCAAGGCGACGAUCCGUAACUGGUCUGAGAGGAUGAUCAGUCACACUGGAACUGAGACACGGUCCAGACUCCUACGGGAGGCAGCAGUGGGGAAUAUUGGACAAUGGGCGAAAGCCUGAUCCGGCCAUGCCGCGUGUGUGAAGAAGGUCUUCGGAUUGUAAAGCACUUUAAGUUGGGAGGAAGGGCAGUAAGUUAAUACCUUGCUGUUUUGACGGUACCAACAGAAUAAGCACCGGCUAACUUCGUG